rnacentral:rRNA from 1 species
CCGGCCUGCUGCUCCGGGGAGGUCGCGCCUCGCGGCCUGCUGCUGCUCCGGGGAGAUGCCGUCCCUGCAGCUGCUGCAGCUCACCGAGCGCGGGCGGGGGCUCCUGGCGUCCCGGAGGAGGACGCUGGCGGUUGUCUCCGGCGCGCUGGUCGCUGGCGGGGCGUUGGCAUACGCGCGGUCGGGCCGAGGCCAAAGGAGGAGAGGCCGUCCGGAAGCCGCCAACGAUGGUGAUGAUGCAUUGGCCAGGAAUGGGGAAAGGCCGGGUCACAACGGCACGGAUGGCCGGUUGGCCGGGACGUCGAAGCGGAGGAAGAGCGCGCUCAAGUCCUUGCAUUUCUUGGCCGCUAUCCUGCUCAAGAAGAUUGGCCCGAAUGGCACGCGAUACCUUCUUGGCUUGAUGCUGACAGCCGUGCUGCGUACUGCUGUUGGGCAUAGAUUAGCAAAAGUUCAAGGCUUUCUGUUUAAAGCGGCAUUUCUUCGGCGGGUUCCAACCUUUACAG